rnacentral:rRNA from 1 species
UACGGAGGGUGCAAGCGUUAUCCGGAUUUACUGGGUUUAAAGGGAGCGCAGGCGGAUUGGUAAGUCAGUGGUGAAAUACCCGUGCUUAACAUGGGAACUGCCAUUGAUACUAUCAGUCUUGAAUGUUGUUGAGGUUUGCGGAAUGGGUCAUGUAGCGGUGAAAUGCAUAGAUAUCAGGAGGAACACCGGUGGCGAAGGCGGUUCUCUGGGCAUGUCCUGACGCUGAUGCGCGAAAGCCAGGGGAGCGAACGGG